UACGAAGGGGGCUAGCGUUGCUCGGAAUCACUGGGCGUAAAGGGUGCGUAGGCGGGUCUUUAAGUCAGGGGUGAAAUCCUGGAGCUCAACUCCAGAACUGCCUUUGAUACUGAAGAUCUUGAGUUCGGGAGAGGUGAGUGGAACUGCGAGUGUAGAGGUGAAAUUCGUAGAUAUUCGCAAGAACACCAGUGGCGAAGGCGGCUCACUGGCCCGGUACUGACGCUGAGGUGCGAAAGCGUGGGGAGCAAACAGGGAUUAAGAAA
rnacentral:rRNA from 1 species